GACGAACGCUGGCGGCGUGCCUAACACAUGCAAGUCGAACGGAGAUAGUUAAUGAAGCUUGCGAUUUAGCUAUCUUAGUGGCGAACGGGUGAGUAACGCGUGGGUAACCUGCCCUUAAGACCGGGACAACAGCUGGAAACGGCUGCUAAUACCGGAUGUAUUGUCCGAGAGGCAUCUCUUGGAGAAGAAAGCUGGCCUCUGAAAAUGCUAGCGCUUAGGGAUGGACCCGCGUCUGAUUAGCUAGUUGGUAAGGUAACGGCUUACCAAGGCGACGAUCAGUAGCCGGCCUGAGAGGGUAAUCGGCCACACUGGGACUGAGACACGGCCCAGACUCCUACGGGAGGCAGCAGUGGGGAAUCUUCCGCAAUGGACGAAAGUCUGACGGAGCAACGCCGCGUGUAUGAAGAAGGCCUUCGGGUUGUAAAAUACUGUUGUUAGGGAAGAACGGCAUCUGUGUAAAUAAUGCAGGUGAUUGACGGUACCUAACGAGGAAGCCCCGGCUAACUACGUGCCAGCAGCCGCGGUAAUACGUAGGGGGCAAGCGUUGUCCGGAAUCAUUGGGCGUAAAGGGCGCGUAGGCGGCAAUAUAAGUCUGAUGUGAAAGUGCGGAGCUUAACU
rnacentral:rRNA from 1 species